GACGAACGCUGGCGGCGUGCUUAACACAUGCAAGUCGAGCGGAAAGGCCCUUCGGGGUACUCGAGCGGCGAACGGGUGAGUAACACGUGAGUAACCUGCCCCAGACUUUGGGAUAACCCUCGGAAACGGGGGCUAAUACCGGAUACGACACUUCAUCGCAUGGUGUGAGUGUGGAAAGUUUUUUCGGUUUGGGAUGGGCUCGCGGCCUAUCAGCUUGUUGGUGGGGUGAUGGCCUACCAAGGCGACGACGGGAGCCGGCCUGAGAGGGCGACCGGCCACACUGGGACUGAGACACGGCCCAGACUCCUACGGGAGGCAGCAGUGGGGAAUAUUGCACAAUGGGCGGAAGCCUGAUGCAGCGACGCCGCGUGAGGGAUGACGGCC
rnacentral:rRNA from 1 species